AUUGAACGCUGGCGGCAGGCUUAACACAUGCAAGUCGAACGAGUGGCGGCCGGGAGAGUAAUGCUUGGGACUCUGGCUUAUGGAGGGGGAUAACGACGGGAAACUGUCGCUAAUACCGAGUACCAUAGGCUGAGCCCAAGUGGGUUUAGGUAGUUGGUGGGGUAAUGGCCUACCAAGCCGACGAUCUCUAGCUGGUCUGAGAGGAUGACCAGCCACACCGGAACGGAGACACGGCCCGGACUCCUACGGGAGGCAGCAGUGGGGAAUAUUGCGCAAUGGGGGCAACCUGACACAGCCAGGCCGCGUGAAUGAAGAAGGCCUUCGGGUUGUAAAGGUCUUGCGGUGACGAGGCGUUAAUCACAGAAGAAGCACCGGCUAACUCCGUGCCAGCAGCCGCGGUAAUUC
rnacentral:rRNA from 1 species